GCACAAGCGGUGGAGCAUGUGGUUUAAUUCGACGCAACGCGCAGAACCUUACCAGGGUUUGACAUCCUGAGACCGCUCCUGAAAGGGAGUUUUCCCGCAAGGGACUCAGAGACAGGUGCUGCAUGGCUGUCGUCAGCUCGUGUCGUGAGAUGUUGGGUUAAGUCCCGCAACGAGCGCAACCCUCGCCUUUAGUUGCCAUCAUUAAGUUGGGCACUCUAGAGGGACCGCCGGCGACAAGCCGGAGGAAGGUGGGGAUGACGUCAAGUCCUCAUGGCCCUUACACCCUGGGCUACACACGUGCUACAAUGGCGGUGACAGUGAGCAGCUAGUUCGCGAGAACGUGCUAAUCUCUAAAAACCGUCCCAGUUCAGAUUGCACUCUGCAACUCGAGUGCAUGAAGGUGGAAUCGCUAGUAAUCGCAGAACAGCAGGCUGCGGUGAAUACGUUCCCGGGC
rnacentral:rRNA from 1 species